UACAAAUAUAUAUAACCACUAAUUGUCAACAGUAUUGUGUGCUUUUUGCAUCUAAAUAUCUCAUCUGCUUAGACGCAAUAUCUGAUACAGAAAUUGCCACGACACACCUUCCAUCUUUUUGAAAAUAGCAGGAGCGCUAUAGCGACACCAGGGAGCGUGUCUAUGUUCCCCGGGUCCUAUGUUCCCCGGGUCCUAUGUUCCCCGGGGCCUAUGUUCCCCGCUUUUCCCAAAAAGGGUCCUAUGUUCCCCGAUAUGUAUGUGACCGGGGAACAUAUGACCCUUUUUAAAAAAAAAAGGGUUCUAUGUUCCCCGGUCUGUUACUUUUUCUCACCAUUACUGCCAAAUUAUAGUUAGGGACUGUCUUGAAUUUUCCUCUAGUGGAACUUGCUGAUAAGCCUGUGACAAGUGUAAUUUGGUAAACUGCUGACCUUCUGCUAUUUUAGCAAAUAAAUCUUGAUUUUUGGGUAGUGAAUACUGCUUCACAUUCAACCAUGAAUUUACGGUGACCUUGUAGUCUCCACAUAUUCUCACAGUAUCAUCCUUUUUAGGCACACAAACUAUUGGAGCUGCUCACUUACUGUAAUAAUUGGGUGAGAUGAAACCUUCAGCUUCCAAUUUUGCCAGUUCUCUCUCUACGGCUUCUCUAAGUGCAUAAGGCCCGUUUCUAGGCUUACAGAACUUGGGCACAGCAUCUGGAACUACAUGUAGUCUGGCUUUAAUACCUGUAAGCUUGCCAAGAUCAGGUUUGAACACUGAUACAUGUCUGGCACACACAUCAUCAACUGUAUCAGGGGCCACUCUGUUGACUCUUGACCAGUCUAGCUUUAAUUUACUUAUCCAGUCUCUUCCCAUUAAUGCAGGACCUCUACCUUUCACUACCAGUAGUUCUAGCCUUUCAGAGCGUUCCUUGCAUUUCACCUUUGCUGUGGAUUUCCCUAACAAUUGCAAUGAUUCCUCACUGUAGUUUUUCAGCACACAAUUUGCUGGACUAAGUUUAACUCCUUUAAACCUUUGUUUAAGCAGAGUUUCAGAUAUCAAUGACACGGCUGCGCCAGUGUCUACCUCCAUUUUAGCCCUUGUACCAUUUACACUGACAUACACAUAGUAGGGUUUCACAAUGUCAUUGUCAACUUUACCCGUGUCCAUUGCAAAAAGAUCAGCCCCUCCAAUGUCCCAUGUGUUCUUUACCGCAUCCACCAUGGACCUUUUCGGCAGACCGUAGUCUUCUCUGCUGCUGUGGGGCUGAGGCUGGAUACAAUCUCCAUUUGACCGAAGAUUCUGAGCGUUGCUCUAGUCCAGGUGCUGGGGAGAGUUGCUCUGGUCCACGUGCUGGGGAGCGCUGCAAACAUGUCUUCCCUGCUGCUUGAGAGCGCUGGAAUCCGUACAUGUCUCGUGCUUGAGAGCGUUGCAACAUUCCAAAUGCCUGGUCUCCUUGCCAUAGCCUCCUUCCUUAUGUCCGCGGCAUGCUUUUGCGAUGUGUCCCAUUUUCUUACAAUGGUGACACUCUACUUCCUUGAACCUGCAUUCAUCCGGUCUGUGACCUUUUCCAUUGCAGCAUUAGCAGGAAUUUCCGUUAGCUGUAGACUUUUCCGUAGCCUCUCUAUGCUUUAUUGUGGCUUUAUUCUCUACCACAUUAGCUUUAUAGCUUUUCUGUGCAAACUGUUGCACACUGUCCUUUGUCACUUCACAAGAGAGAGCCAUUUCUGAUUUGAUUUGAUUGAAAUUUAUUUUGAACAUGUAAAAGAAAACAAUAAAUAUAUAAUACACAAAUUACUGAUGUUAAAAAAAAUAGAAAGC
ensembl:lncRNA